CUUCCUUUAUGCUAUGAAAAACAUGAGACCUGUCUCUGUCUCAUAGUGAACAGCAGCCAUAUUCUGCAUUGUUGAAUGUGUUUAGUCAGUGUCAUGGGAAGCAGCCGGUACAUGACCUGGUCAAGUGAGGGGCCGAAACCAUUUUGUAGAGUCGAGUCCCUAAUGGUCAGUCCCCUGAGGAAUAAAAAUGACAGCAAUCUG
rnacentral:lncRNA from 1 species